rnacentral:rRNA from 1 species
UUAAACUGGAGGAAGGUGGGGAUGACGUCAAAUCAUCAUGCCCCUUAUGACCUGGGCUACACACGUGCUACAAUGGACAGAACAAAGGGCAGCGAAACCGCGAGGUUAAGCCAAUCCCACAAAUCUGUUCUCAGUUCGGAUCGCAGUCUGCAACUCGACUGCGUGAAGCUGGAAUCGCUAGUAAUCGCGGAUCAGCAUGCCGCGGUGAAUACGUUCCCGGGCCUUGUACACACCGCCCGUCACACCACGAGAGUUUGUAACACCCGAAGUCGGUGAGGUAACCUUUAUGGAGCCAGCCGCCGAAGGUGGGACAGAUGAUUGGGGUGAAGUCGAAACAAGAGCUUGCUUUU